UACGGAGGGUGCAAGCGUUAUCCGGAUUCACUGGGUUUAAAGGGUGCGUAGGUGGGCUAGUAAGUCCGUGGUGAAAUCUCUGAGCUUAACUCGGAAACUGCCGUGGAUACUAUUAGUCUUGAAUCUCGUGGAGGUAAGCGGAAUAUGUCAUGUAGCGGUGAAAUGCUUAGAUAUGACAUAGAACACCGAUAGCGAAGGCAGCUUGCUACACGAGUAUUGACACUGAGGCACGAAAGCGUGGGGAUCAAACAGG
rnacentral:rRNA from 2 species